AACAUUAAAGGCCUGGGUCUCAAUGUAAAUUGUCUUGGUUAUUGAUUGUAAAACUUAGCAAGGUUUAAUUUGCAAUGCCUUUUUGCUCCAUAUAUUCUCAAUCUGUGUGAAUAAGGAAUGUAUGCAUCAGGAAAAGAUAAGGUGUGAAGGCCAUUGUUAUAGUCAGAGUCAAGGAAAAAGAAGUAAAGAGACUUAAAGGACAUCAAA